rnacentral:rRNA from 1 species
GGUCAAGCGACUAAGCGCAUACGGUGGAUGCCUAGGCGGUAGGAGGCGAUGAAGGACGUGGUAGCCUGCGAUAAGCCUCGGGGAGUCGGCAAACUGGCUUUGAUCCGGGGAUUUCCGAAUGGGGAAACCCGAUUAUCGUAAGAUAAUCAUCGCGCACUGAAUACAUAGGUGCGCGAAGCGAACCUGGGGAAUUGAAACAUCUAAGUACCCAGAGGAAAAGAAAUCAACCGAGAUUCCGUUAGUAGCGGCGAGCGAAAGCGGAUUAGCCCUUAAGCCUGACUUGUUUUAGUGGAAUGCUCUGGAAAGUGCAGCCAUAGUGGGUGAUAGCCCCGUACACGAAAAGGCAUAUCAGGUGAAAUCGAGUAGGGCGGGACACGUGAAAUCCUGUCUGAACAUGGGGGGACCAUCCUCCAAGGCUAAAUACUACCUACCGACCGAUAGUGAACCAGUACCGUGAGGGAAAGGCGAAAAGAACCCCGGAGAGGGGAGUGAAAUAGAACCUGAAACCGUAUGCGUACAAGCAGUGGGAGCACCUUAGGGUGUGACUGCGUACCUUUUGUAUAAUGGGUCAGCGACUUACUUUCAGUGGCAAGGUUAACCGUUUAGGGAAGCCGUAGGGAAACCGAGUCUGAAUAGGGCGAUCAGUCGCUGGGAGUAGACCCGAAGCCGGGCGAUCUAUCCAUGGCCAGGUUGAAGGUGGGGUAAUUCCCACUGGAGGACCGAACCCACGUCUGUUGAAAAAGACGGGGAUGAGCUGUGGAUAGGAGUGAAAGGCUAAUCAAGCUCGGCGAUAGCUGGUUCUCCCCGAAAGCUAUUUAGGUAGCGCCUCGUGUCUCACUCUCGGGGGUAGAGCACUGUUAUGGCUAGGGGGUUCACAAGAACUUACCAAACCAUUGCAAACUCCGAAUACCGAGAAGUGUAAUCACGGGAGACACACGGCGGGUGCUAACGUCCGUCGUGGAGAGGGAAACAACCCAGACCGCCAGCUAAGGUCCCCAAAUCAUGGCUAAGUGGAAAACGAUGUGGGAAGGCAUAGACAGCUAGGAGGUUGGCUUAGAAGCAGCCAUCCUUUAAAGAAAGCGUAAUAGCUCACUAGUCGAGUCGGCCUGCGCGGAAGAUUUAACGGGGCUAAGCCAUGUACCGAAGCUGCGGAUUUGCGCUUUGCGCAAGUGGUAGGGGAGCGUUCUGUACGCCUGCGAAGGUGAACUGUAAGGUUUGCUGGAGGUAUCAGAAGUGCGAAUGCUGACAUAAGUAACGAUAAGAUGGGUGAAAAACCCAUCCGCCGAAAGCCCAAGGUUUCCUGCGCAACGUUAAUCGGCGCAGGGUUAGUCGGCCCCUAAGGCGAGGCAGAAAUGCGUAGUCGAUGGGAAACAGGUUAAUAUUCCUGUACUUUUUGUUACUGCGAUGGGGUGACGAAGCAGGUUAGGCCAUCCGGGCGUUGGUUGUCCCGGUCUAAGCGUGUAGGGAGCAUGUUUUGGAAAAUCCGGACGUGCAAUCCUGAGACGUGAUGGCGAGCUCCUUUAUGGAGCGAAGUGGUUGAUACCAAACUUCCAGGAAAACCCUCUAAGCUUCAGGUAACAAGAAACCGUACCCGAAACCGACACAGGUGGGCAGGGUGAGAAUCCCAAGGCGCUUGAGAGAACUCGGGUAAAGGAACUAGGCAAAAUGGUACCGUAACUUCGGGAGAAGGUACGCCCCCAUUACGUGAAAGGCUUGCGCCUCGAGCGGAAGGGGGUCUCAGAAACCAGGCCGCUGCGACUGUUUAUUAAAAACACAGCACUCUGCAAACUCGAAAGAGGACGUAUAGGGUGUGACGCCUGCCCGGUGCCGGAAGGUUAAUUGAUGGGGUUAGCGAAAGCGAAGCUCUUGAUCGAAGCCCCGGUAAACGGCGGCCGUAACUAUAACGGUCCUAAGGUAGCGAAAUUCCUUGUCGGGUAAGUUCCGACCUGCACGAAUGGCGUAACGAUGGCGGCACUGUCUCUACCCGAGACUCAGUGAAAUUGAAAUCGCUGUGAAGAUGCAGUGUACCCGCGGCUAGACGGAAAGACCCCGUGAACCUUUACUACAGCUUUACACUGGACUUUGAACCUGCUUGUGUAGGAUAGGUGGGAGGCUUUGAAGCCGGGACGCCAGUCUCGGUGGAGCCAUCCUUGAAAUACCACCCUGGCAUGUUCGGAGUUCUAACCUAGGCCCGUUAUCCGGGUCAGGGACAGUGUAUGGUGGGUAGUUUGACUGGGGCGGUCUCCUCCUAAAGAGUAACGGAGGAGCGCGAAGGUAUCCUAAGAACGGUCGGAAAUCGUUCGAUUAGUGCAAAGGCAUAAGGAUGCUUGACUGCGAGACAGACACGUCGAGCAGGUGCGAAAGCAGGUCUUAGUGAUCCGGUGGCUCUGUAUGGAAGGGCCAUCGCUCAACGGAUAAAAGGUACUCCGGGGAUAACAGGCUGAUACCGCCCAAGAGUUCAUAUCGACGGCGGUGUUUGGCACCUCGAUGUCGGCUCAUCACAUCCUGGGGCUGAAGCAGGUCCCAAGGGUAUGGCUGUUCGCCAUUUAAAGUGGUACGCGAGCUGGGUUUAGAACGUCGUGAGACAGUUCGGUCCCUAUCUGCCGUGGGCGUUUGAGACUUGAGAGGAGCUGCUCCUAGUACGAGAGGACCGGAGUGGACGUAUCUCUGGUGUUCCGGUUGUCACGCCAGUGGCAUUGCCGGGUAGCUAUAUACGGACGGGAUAACCGCUGAAAGCAUCUAAGCGGGAAGCCCCCCUCAAGAUUAGGUCUCACUGGACCCAUGAGGUCCCUAAAGGGCCCUUGAAGACUACAAGGUUGAUAGGCUGGGUGUGGAAGUGCAGCAAUGUAUGAAGCUAACCAGUACUAAUUGCCCGUGAGGCUUGACCAU